UCUUCAUUUCACAUGCUCUCUCACCGGUCAGAGUGACGAGAGAGUACGCGGAAUGAAGAGA
rfam:Pristionchus pacificus strain PS312 contig5842, whole genome shotgun sequence.